rnacentral:tRNA from 1 species
GUUGUCGUUGCCGAUUGGUUAAGGCGAUAUACUAGAAAUCUUUUGGGAUCUUCCCGCGCAGGUUUGAAACCUGCCGAAAACG